AGGACGAACGCUGGCGGCGUGCUUAACACAUGCAAGUCGAACGGUGAAGCACCUUCGGGUGUGGAUCAGUGGCGAACGGGUGAGUAACACGUGGGCAACCUGCCCCUGACUUCGGAAUAACUUCGGGAAACCGAAGCUAAUACCGGAUACGACCUCGAGCGGCAUCGCUUGAGGUGGAAAGUUUUUCGGUCAGGGAUGGGCCCGCGGCCUAUCAGCUUGUUGGUGGGGUAAUGGCCUACCAAGGCGACUACGGGU
rnacentral:rRNA from 1 species